AGGGACAGAAGGUGUGAUGGACAACUUUCAGUGAUGCUGCAAGGUGACAAAUUCCAUGGAAAAGCUGACCGAAAGGAUAGAAAUAAGAACUCCAGAAGCGCUUCUUAGGUGGAUGGGAGCAGUGGUUGGAUUGCUAAACGAAAGUGUGAGAAAUUUUAGGUCAGAAGGUGUAAACGCAUUGAUACGAUAAAUGCAAUGAACCUCAAUCACCCACUUUGAUGUCGCUGCCAAGCAUUUCCAGGUGAUCACACAACUUCACAUCUCUUCUGUCAUUGGCUGGCUCACAAGUAGCUGCUCCAGCAUUCCUCCUUUUAGAUCCCACUCCCUGGAAAAUUCAGUGAAGGAUGUUGUCAGUGAUAAAUGCAUUUGAUUUGGUUUUUGCAAUUUAAGUGGAUGGUAGAUUGGAAGUUCUCCUGUUAUUUCUCUUUAACUUACCAUUCAACUGAAAGGGAAUGUGAAUAGAUGGAGGACAUUUUAAGUAUCUAACAUACAUGGAAACCAGCAAAUCACUUAGUAUUGAUUCAGUAUUUUUACUUGAGUUUUCUGUUUACCUUCUGAAAGACGCAUGUUUUUUCAUGUUUCAUUCUCACUCCAAGCAUCUGCUCUCUCACUCUCCCUCUAUCUUUUCUUAUAAUGUACUAUAUGUCCUUUCAAUAUCAGUUGUAUUUUUUUGAGUAAAUACAAGAUGAAUGCAAUGGUUCAAAACAGAUUAAAUGCAAGAAUUUAAAA